UGGAUGCUGCCUCACAGUGGGCGUGGAUACUGCCUCACAGUGGGCGUGGAUACUGCCUCUGUCUUUUCCCUGCUUGGGGAUUCCUUCAAUCCAACGGGGUUUCCUCGUCCAGCUUGAAUUGAUGCCUAAACAACAGAAAGACUCAACGAAAAAAGAGAAUUUCAUAUCAAUUUCCCUUAUGAACAGUAAUGCAAACAUACUCAAGAAAAUAUUCCAAACCAAAUCCAAGAUGACAUCAAAAACAUUAUCCAACAUGAUCAAAUAGACUUCGUUCCAGGAUGCAGAGAUGGUUCAACAUAUGAAAAUCCAUCAAUAUAAUCCUUCAAUGAACCAAUUGAAAGAAAAAAAGUACCACAUGAUGUUCUCAUUAGAUGUUGAAAAAGCCAUUCACAAAUCUAACAUGUCUUCAUGAUAAAAGUCUUGGUAAAGUCUUGAUAUCAAUCAAAGAUACAUAUACCUAACCCCAAUAAAGGCAAUAUA